CAGGUUCCACAGGAAAAGUAAAACUUAUUCAGGUUCCAAAAUUAAUGUCAGUUAUAAAUGUGGCCUUUAGUCAGCUAUGUGGUCCAAAGCAACUCUCUUCAUCACCUGGCUUUAAAUUCACAAAAGUCAGAGUUUUACAUAACUGGACUGAGCUGUAUUCAAGAGACUGGAGUAAGCGGAGGAACUAGAUUAAGGCUUUUCCAAGAAAUGAACCAAGAGAAUUUACUUUUAAGAGCUUUCGACAGGAUCAGACAACCUCUAGCCAUCAUAAGAGAGAGAAAUUCAUCCAGCACCCACAUGCCAACCUACUCCAAGACCCUGGAAGGGAGUAUUCUUAUAUUUUCCUGACAUUCAAACAUCAUUUACCUUCUAACAGUAUGUGAAUAUAAGGCAGUAUAGUAAAAUGAAUAUAUCAUGGAUUUGGUAGCACAGAAUUAAGGCUUAAACCUAAUUCUGCAAAUUACAAGGUAUAUAACCUUGGCCAGAUUCCCUCACCCCUCUAAGCUUUCAUAUAUACAGAUAUUUUCAAGAGAAGACAGGAUCUACUUCAUAAGAAUGCCUUCAGGAUUAUAUGAGGCAAAGUUGGAAGCCAAUGGAAUACUCCUCGAUUAUUGAAAAUUCUUGCGAAUAUAUGCAGAUCAAAAUGGAAAUACAACUAUAUGUAAUUCUAUUCAAUUAGUAAAUCUGUCCUGAAAUUGAGUUACAUCAUCUGAUUUCAUAGAUGAAGAAAUUGAAACUGAUUUCCUAGAGUCUUCUUUCUCUUUUCAAAUGACGCCAACCAAAUCAGAUAAAGCUAAAACAAAUCUGUUCAGGCAUAGGGUCAUCAAUCAUCUGUGUAAGCUUUUUAAUUGUCAACAAAGGACCUCAAAACCAUUAAGAAUUUUGAGGAAUGGAGCCUAAUGCCCCGAGAGUCUCUUCUUAAUACUGUACCAAUUUCCAACUCAUCAUUUUUUUAUAUUUGCUUGUUUGCUCAUUUGUUUCUCCCCUAGGAGUUUGAUCAACUUUGCUGUUUUACUGAUACUAUUGGCUUUACUAAUCACUUGCUUCAGUCUGAGAGUGAAAUAGAAAUGGAAUCCUAUUAUUUAUUUCCCUAUAAUUUUAUAGUUUAUUUUGAAAUAUCUAGAAAAUCUAGAAAAAUAGACAAGGAACUAACAAACUGUUAGACCCAAAAUGUAGACACAGCACAGAUCAAAACAAACACAAAUCUAUCAGACAUCACUAACACCCUGUGAAAUAAUGUAAUCUUAUUUUCAGAGGUGUAGAGUUGUCAAAAUCCCUUACAGCUGGCACUAAGAAAGUGACGGUAAUUUGGGGGAGUCCACGUGGUUCAUGACUUAGCUGUGACCCAUUAACAGUUUUUCCCAUCUCAGUUUAUUUCUGCCCUGUUUGCUCUGUCUGAAGGGUAUUCUCUAGCCAGUUAUUAAAACGAAGCCACCAUACAGUGAA
rnacentral:lncRNA from 10 species